rnacentral:ribozyme from 1 species
GGUACUGGUAAAUAAUAACCAGUCCUUCUUAAUGCAGCCAACGGAGGUCACAAGCCCUCGGAUAAUGCAGAGUGAGGA